CCUUAAUGGCCUGAGGUGGGCAGAGGG
rnacentral:piRNA from 1 species